GACCGGGUGGCUGAGUUAGGUCUAAGGCGUCAGACUUAAGAUCUGUUGUUUCUAGCGGAACCCCUGGGUUCAAAUCCCAGCCCGGUCG
rnacentral:tRNA from 1 species